UACGAAGGGGGCUAGCGUUGUUCGGAAUUACUGGGCGUAAAGCGCGUGUAGGCGGGUCGUUAAGUCGGGGGUGAAAUCCCAGAGCUCAACUCUGGAACUGCCUUCGAUACUGGCGACCUGGACCCAAGUAGAGGCGAGUGGAAUUGCGAGUGUAGAGGUGAAAUUCGUAGAUAUUCGCAGGAACACCAGUGGCGAAGGCGACUCGCUGGACUUGUGGUGACGCUGAGACGCGAAAGCGUGGGUAGCAAAC
rnacentral:rRNA from 1 species